GCUUGUUCUCGGGGCGGGGUGAGAUUCCCCACCGGCGGUAUGGAAAGCGAUUUCCGAGCCCGCGAGCGCCUGAAAGACGAAGCUGAUUCGCUUCAUCAAUCAGGGUCAGCAGAUCCGGUGAGAUGCCGGAGCCGACGGUAUAGUCCGGAUGAAAGAGAGCAAAA
rnacentral:ncRNA from 2 species